rnacentral:rRNA from 1 species
GACGAACGCUGGCGGCGUGCUUAACACAUGCAAGUCGAGCGAGAGAAAUUCCUUCGGGAAGGACUCUAGCGGCGGACGGGUGAGUAACACGUGGGUAACCUGCCUCAUAGAGGGGAAUAGCCUUUCGAAAGGAAGAUUAAUACCGCAUAAGAUUGUAGUAUCGAAUGAUGCAGCAAUUAAAGGAGUAAUCCGCGAUGAUAUGGACCCGCGUCGCAUUAGCUAGGUGGUGAGGUAACGGCUCACCAAGGCGACGAUGCGUAGCCGACCUGAGAGGGUGAUCGGCCACAUUGGGACUGAGAAACGGCCCAGACUCCUACGGGAGGCAGCAGUGGGGAAUAUUGCACAAUGGGGGAAACCCUGAUGCAGCAACGCCGCGUGAGUGAUGACGGUCUUCGGAUUGUAAAACUCUGUCUUCAGGGACGAUAAUGACGGUACCUGAGGAGGAAGCCACGGCUAACUACGUGCCAGCCGCCGCAGUAAGAC